AUAUUGCUCAAUGGGGGAAACCCUGAAGCAGCAACGCCGCGUGGAGGAUGAAGGUUUUCGGAUUGUAAACUCCUUUUCUAAGAGAAGAUUAUGACGGUAUCUUAGGAAUAAGCACCGGCUAACUACGUGCCAGCAGCCGCGGUAAUCCGGAGGGUGCAAGCGUUACUCGGAAUCACUGGGCGUAAAGAGCGCGUAGGCGGGAUAGCAAGUCAGAUGUGAAAUCCUAUGGCUUAACCAUAGAACUUCAUUUGAAACUGUUAUUCUAGAGUAUGGGAGAGGUAGGUGGAAUUCUUGGUGUAGGGGUAAAAUCCGUAGAGAUCAAGAGGAAUACUCAUUGCGAAGGCGACCUGCUGGAACAUAACUGACGCUGAUGCGCGAAAGCGUGGGGAGCAAACAGG
rnacentral:rRNA from 1 species